rnacentral:rRNA from 1 species
GUCUACAGCCAUGCUACCCUGAACAAGCCUGAUCCCAUCUGAUCUCGGAAGCUAAGCAGGAUUGGGCCUGGUUAGUACUUGGACUAAAAAAAUUAAAGUAAAUUUGUGACUCACAAAAUAUCUGAUGAGAUAUAGC